rnacentral:rRNA from 1 species
GUACAACUCUGAGCGGUGGAUCACUCGGCUCGUGGG